AGCCCGGGAGCAGCUCAGGGCCUGUGCUGUUUCAUUACUUCAUGGAUGACGCUGUGAGAGCUAUAAACUGCCCUGUAAACUGCACCCCUGUGUGAGUGCUUUGAGCAAUUACGACCGGCCUUGGAGAGCAGCAAGGGCUGGAGUGCAUUUCAGAAACACCCAGAGAAGAGUGAAGGCUGUGGCCACAGGACUUCUGGGAUGAGGCUGCACAGCUGACCUGAUGGAUCUGAGAGGGUGAAUGCUGCAGCAAGGUUGACCAUCCCCUUGCUGCCUGGGUUCCC
rnacentral:lncRNA from 1 species